CAGCACUUGAGCAGCUUUCUUCUGCGUUAGGAAGCCUGGGGAGAGGGGAACUGGCUAAAGGGCAAAAUGUCACUGAGGAACUUCGGAGAAGAUGGGGACAAGGCGUCGGGCGGGGGAGCCAGCGCUCAGGAGCCCAGGCACCAUACUGUCUUUUCGAGGUAUGGUGCUGGGUGCAGAUGCAGUGUGGCUCUGGAUAGCACCUUAUGGACAGUUGUGUCCCCAAGGAAGGAUGAGAAUAGCUACUGAAGUCCUAAACAGCAAGCCUAACUCAAGCCAUUGGCACACAGGCAUUAGACAGAAAGCUGGAAGUUGAAAUGGUGGAGUCCAACUUGCCUGGACCAGCUUAAUGGUUCUGCUCCUGGUAACGUUUUUAUCCAUGGAUGACUUGCUUGGGUAUGGAGAGUCGGCUUGACUACACUGUGUGGAGCAACUUUUAAAGAAGCAAAGGACUCAGAAUUCAUGAUUGAAGAAAUGCAGGCAGACCUGUUAUCCUAAACUAGGGUUUUUAACGACCACAACAAGCAAGCAUGCAGCUUACUGCUUGAAAGGGUCUUGCCUCACCCAAGCUGGAGUGCAGUGGCCUUUGAAGCUUACUACAGCCUCAAACUUCUGGGCUCAAGUGAUCCUCAGCCUCCCAGUGGUCUUUGUAGACUGCCUGAUGGAGUCUCAUGGCACAAGAAGAUUAAAACAAUGUCUCCAAUUUUAAUAAAUUUUUGCAAUCCA
rnacentral:lncRNA from 1 species